rnacentral:rRNA from 1 species
UGGGGAAUCUUCCGCAAUGGACGAAAGUCUGACGGAGCAACUCCGCGUGAGUGAAGACGGCCUUCGGGUUGUAAAGCUCUGUGAUCCGGGACGAAAGAGCCUGAGGUGAAUAGCCUAAGGAAGUGACGGUACCGGAAAAGCAAGCCACGGCUAACUACGUGCCAGCAGCCGCGGUAAUACGUAGGUGGCAAGCGUUGUCCGGAAUUAUUGGGCGUAAAGCGCGCGCAGGCGGCUUCCUAAGUCCAUCUUAAAAGUGCGGGGCUUAACCCCGUGAUGGGAUGGAAACUGGGAAGCUGGAGUAUCGGAGAGGAAAGUGGAAUUCCUAGUGUAGCGGUGAAAUGCGUAGAGAUUAGGAAGAACACCGGUGGCGAAGGCGACUUUCUGGACGAAAACUGACGCUGAGGCGCGAAAGCGUGGGGAGCAAACAGG